AUUGAACGCUGGCGGCAGGCCUAACACAUGCAAGUCGAGCGGUAGAGAGGUGCUUGCAUCUCUUGAGAGUGGCGGACGGGUGAGUAACACGUGAGAAUUUGCCUUUAGGAGGGGACAACAAUCGGAAACGAAUGCUAAUACCCCAUAUGCUUUCGAGUGAAAUGGAUUUUAUCCGCCUAGAGAGAAGCUCGCGGCUGAUUAGCUUGUUGGUAAGGUAAGAGCUUACCAAGGCGACGAUCAGUAUCUGGUUUGAGAGGACGAUCAGACACACUGGAACUGAGACACGGUCCAGACUCCUACGGGAGGCAGCAGUGGGGAAUUUUGGACAAUGGGCGCAAGCCUGAUCCAGCAAUGCCGCGUGCAGGAUGAAGGCCUGGUUGUAACGU
rnacentral:rRNA from 1 species